rnacentral:rRNA from 1 species
CACCUCCCAUCCGUGUCUAUUGUACCCUGUUGCUUCGGCGGGCCCGCCGCUUGUCGGCCGCCGGGGGGGCGCCUCUGCCCCCCGGGCCCGUGCCCGCCGGAGACCCCAACACGAACACUGUCUGAAAGCGUGCAGUCUGAGUUGAUUGAAUGCAAUCAGUUAAAACUUUCAACAAUGGAUCUCUUGGUUCCGGCAUCGAUGAAGAACGCAGCGAAAUGCGAUAACUAAUGUGAAUUGCAGAAUUCAGUGAAUCAUCGAGUCUUUGAACGCACAUUGCGCCCCCUGGUAUUCCGGGGGGCAUGCCUGUCCGAGCGUCAUUGCUGCCCUCAAGCCCGGCUUGUGUGUUGGGUCGCCGUCCCCCUCUCCGGGGGGACGGGCCCGAAAGGCAGCGGCGGCACCGCGUCCGAUCCUCGAGCGUAUGGGGCUUUGUCACAUGCUCUGUAGGAUUGGCCGGCGCCUGCCGACGUUUUCCAACCAUUCUUUCCAGGUUGACCUCGGAUCAGGUAGGGAUACCCGCUGAACUUAAGCAUAUCAAUAAGCGG